GGAAUAUUGGUCAAUGGUCGGGAGACUGAACCAGCCAAGUCGCGUGCGGGAUGAAGGCCCUCCGGGUCGUAAACCGCUUUAGCCGGGGAGUAACGUGGGGGACGCGUCCCUCAGUGAGAGUACCCGGAGAAUAAGCAUCGGCUAACUCCGUGCCAGCAGCCGCGGUAAUACGGAGGAUGCGAGCGUUAUCCGGAUUUAUUGGGUUUAAAGGGUGCGCAGGCGGCAUGUCAAGUCAGCGGUCAAACUGCGGCGCUCAACGCCGUACCGCCGUUGAAACUGGCAGGCUUGAGUCCGUGCGAGGAUGGCGGAAUGCGCGGUGUAGCGGUGAAAUGCAUAGAUAUCGCGCAGAACUCCGAUUGCGAAGGCAGCUGUCCAGCACACGACUGACGCUCAUGCACGAAAGCGUGGGUAUCGAACA
rnacentral:rRNA from 1 species